rnacentral:rRNA from 1 species
UACGUAGGGUGCAAGCGUUGUCCGGAAUUAUUGGGCGUAAAGAGCUCGUAGGCGGUCUGUCGCGUCGGCUGUGAAAACCCGGGGCUCAACCCCGGGCCUGCAGUGGGUACGGGCAGACUAGAGUGCGGUAGGGGUGACUGGAAUUCCUGGUGUAGCGGUGGAAUGCGCAGAUAUCAGGAGGAACACCGAUGGCGAAGGCAGGUCACUGGGCCGCAACUGACGCUGAGGAGCGAAAGCAUGGGGAGCGAACAGG